UACGAAGGGGGCUAGCGUUGCUCGGAAUCACUGGGCGUAAAGGGUGCGUAGGCGGGUUUUAAGUCAGGGUGAAAUCCUGGAGCUCAACUCCAGAACUGCCCUUGAUACUGAAGAUCGUUGAGUCCGGGAGAGGUGAGUGGAACUGCGAGUGUAGAGGUGAAAUUCGUAGAUAUUCGCAAGAACACCAGUGGCGAAGGCGGCUCACUGGCCCGGUACUGACGCUGAGGCACGAAAGCGUGGGGAGCCAAACAGGG
rnacentral:rRNA from 1 species